UCAACUGUUUUAUUUCUUUUUAUUUUUCUUUUUAUUUUUUUUCUGUGGUUCUGCAUUUCUCAGGUGACAUUAGGGUUCUCAUACUUCAAUCCGUAAUUUGUCAACAUUUGUUUGCAAUUCUUCUUUGAUCUGCGUGAACUCUCUUUCAUUUGAGGCGGGUAUAUGGUUGUAGUACAAAUUUGAAGCUGAAGGAAGGGAAAGAAGAACAUGA